AGAGUUUGAUCAUGGCUCAGGAUGAACGCUAGCGGCAGGCCUAACACAUGCAAGUCGAGGGGUAGAGGGUGCUUGCAUCCUUGAGACCGGCGCACGGGUGCGUAACGCGUAUGCAACCUGCCUUCCACAGGGGAAUAGCCCAGAGAAAUUUGGAUUAAUGCCCCAUGGCACAUCGAGACGGCAUCGUCUUGGUGUUAAAGUAACAACGGUGGAAGAUGGGCAUGCGUCCCAUUAGCUAGUUGGUAAGGUAACGGCUUACCAAGGCUAUGAUGGGUAGGGGUCCUGAGAGGGAGAUCCCCCACACUGGUACUGAGACACGGACCAGACUCCUACGGGAGGCAGCAGUGAGGAAUAUUGGUCAAUGGUCGCAAGACUGAACCAGCCAUGCCGCGUGCAGGAUGACGGUCCUAUGGAUUGUAAACUGCUUUUGUACGGGAAGAAACACUCCUACGUGUAGGGGCUUGACGGUACCGUAAGAAUAAGGAUCGGCUAACUCCGUGCCAGCCGCCGCGGUAAUAC
rnacentral:rRNA from 1 species